UACGUAGGGCGCAAGCGUUAUCCGGAAUUAUUGGGCGUAAAGAGCUCGUAGGCGGCUUGUCACGUCGGGUGUGAAAGCCCGGGGCUUAACCCCGGGUCUGCAUUCGAUACGGGCUAGCUAGAGUGUGGUAGGGGAGAUCGGAAUUCCUGGUGUAGCGGUGAAAUGCGCAGAUAUCAGGAGGAACACCGGUGGCGAAGGCGGAUCUCUGGGCCAUUACUGACGCUGAGGAGCGAAAGCGUGGGUAGCGAACAGG
rnacentral:rRNA from 1 species